AUAGGAUGGCUUGAUACUUGCUUCACUGGGUUCUACGAUCCAUGCUACUGUCAGAGGGACUUUGCAAGUUAGAAAAAAAAUUAUAGAAGGGGAAGCGUACUUUAUUAGAAAUUUUGGAGUUGGAUUGAAUGGUGAAGGUUUCAAGGCAACUAGGCAUGUUUACAAAAUUUCUUUCAACUUGAGGACAGAUGUGAAGGCCAUUGUUGAUGCUACCAUACCUGUCAAUUGUUUCAAUUUUGUCGAGUUUGAUUUUAUUAUACAGCAAAAAACGGUCUCUCCUUAUUUAUUGGAUUUCAUCGGUUUACUGACUGGAACUAGCGAAGUUGAAGAGCAUGAUGUGUUUGGUAGGAAAGCAAAAAAAAUUGUGCUGGAGCUUGACAACCGCAG